rnacentral:lncRNA from 1 species
GGGGAAAAAACUAAAUGUGUUUCUUUCAAUUUAUUGAUCUUUCUUAGAUGGCUCAAUUGAGAAAGAAAUUGAGAUCACUUGGAUUGAUUCCCCCACCCAACCCACCCAAAAAAAGGAUGAUGGGAUCCAAUAAAUUAUUUUUUAAUCUAAAACUCUAUCUUAGAUAUGGGAUCUAUGGAAUCUACCUAAUCAGCGAUCUAGUUUUGUUUUUCUCUAAACUUCUAUUUAUAUUUAAGAUUUGCUGAAUCUCAAAUAUGAGCAUGUGUAACAGAGUGGGGAGCAAGAAGGGGGACCAAAUAUAAUGGAAUGGGGGAGUUAGGGAGAGGCCUUAUAUUGCAUUCACUUGCCUGCAUAUAUUUGUUUGUUUGUUUAUCUUUAAGUUCCUAAGCAUGAAUUUGUUCAUUAUUCAGGUCAUAACUAUAUAGGAUCUGAGCACUUGCUUCUUGGGCUGUUGCGUGAGGGUGAGGGUGUGGCUGCCCGUGUGCUUGAGAGUCUUGGAGCUGAUCCAAGCAACAUCCGUACGCAGGCAUGUGUUAAAUUUUAAUUCAGAUUGUGAUAUAUAUUGUUCUGCACUUCUAAUUAUUACGAGGACUAUAAGCUUCUGUUGUUUAAGUAGGUUAUUAGGAUGGUUGGUGAAAGCACGGAAGCAGUUGGUGCUGGGGUUGGAGGUGGAAGCAGUGGCAAUAAGAUGCCCACGCUCGAGGAGUAUGGAACUAAUUUGACAAAGUUGGCAGAGGAGGUAAUUUUUUCAUGUUUUGCUCAUUUCCAAUGCAUGUUGUUACUUAUCAUCAAAACUUUAAGAUCUAACCUCCUGAUGUUACAGGGCAAACUAGAUCCAGUUGUUGGCAGGCAGGAGCAAAUAGAGCGUGUUACCCAAAUUCUGGGCAGGCGAACAAAGAACAAUCCCUGCCUGAUUGGAGAGCCUGGUGUUGGGAAGACAGCCAUUGCAGAAGGACUUGCUCAACGCAUAGCAAAUGGGGAUGUUCCAGAAACUAUUGAAGGAAAGAAGGUUUGUUUGGAUUAUCUUAUUCAAUUAAUUAUCAUACACUGGUUUCAGUUGCUUCUUCUGUUUCUUUAUUAAUUUUUGGAUUUACUUGUGCCUUUUGCCUGAUGUCAGUUACUCAUGUAUUUGAGCUUUGUUUUUGAUUUUUUGGGUGCAAUGUCUGACAAUGUUGGGACUCUUUCUGAUUGUUUUUGGUUCCUUCUUAUCACUCUUUUUGGCUCACAAUCAUAAUAAUCGACUUUUGACACUCUUUUUGGCUCUCAGUCAUAAUAAUUGACUUUUGACAAUGGUAAUUUGUGACUUAUCUAUUGUCUUUUUUUUUUUUGAAAAUCCAGGUCAUUACCCUUGAUAUGGGACUCCUUGUUGCUGGUACCAAAUAUCGUGGAGAGUUUGAAGAAAGAUUAAAAAAGUUGAUGGAUGAAAUAAAGCAAAGCGAUGAGAUAAUACUCUUUAUUGAUGAGGUACACACAUUAAUUGGAGCAGGAGCAGCAGAGGGUGCAAUAGAUGCAGCUAAUAUCUUAAAACCAGCUCUUGCAAGAGGUGAACUACAGGUAUUAAAAGAUUUCGUGUAAUUUUUUUCUUAACAUUUUGACCAUAGUUAAUUGUCAUCAUAUCUAUAUUUUAGGAUGGUUAUUUUCAUUGAAAUUUUGGAGUACUCUUUCUUCUUGUUCUCUUAACAGUGGAAAAGCAUUAAGCCUUUGAUUUUUUUUUUUUUUUGAAAAUGCAAUUCCACAUUAGUUUCUACAUUAUAAAUUAUAAAUGGAGUUCCAAGAUGCUAGUAACUGUCCAUAGUAAGCCAAGCCUGUUCAUUUUGUUCAGUGUAUUGGAGCCACAACACUCGAUGAGUACAGGAAGCACAUUGAGAAGGAUCCUGCUUUGGAAAGACGAUUUCAACCAGUAAGAGUGCCAGAGCCAACAGUUGAUGAAACAAUACAGAUCCUGAAAGGGCUUCGUGAACGCUAUGAGAUUCACCACAAACUUCGUUAUACAGAUGAAGCUUUAGUUGCUGCUGCUCAAUUGUCAUACCAAUACAUUAGGUUUGUGACACAAAACCAAGCUUCGAUGCAUAAGGUUUUGUAUGUUAAUCUUUUCUUUUAAUAAGUAGAAUCAGGGCAUAGGAUCCGCAUACAAUACUGUCAUUUGUUAUAUGCUGUUACCAAUCUUGGGUGAACUGUAGGUGGUGAUGGUAGGUUAGGUGAGUCCCUCCUUUCUUCACUAGUAAAAUGUUACCUAACAUUGUAUAAAAACACUUGCUUAAGGCUUAUUUUGCCUCGCAUUUACAAGGUGAGGCUCUCCAAAAAAAACUUCCUGAGGCUCAUAACUGUGGCUAUAUGGCAGCAUUACUUGGACACUUGACAUAGGUGCCAAGUGUCACCAAGUGUUGGACACAGCAGCCUUCAAAAUCUAGGUAGAGGGACACAACAUAUAUACAUGUAUAUUUUUACAUGUAUCUAAAUAUGUAAGUGCACUCAUACUUGUCUAUAUGCGGAUGUAUGUAUGUAAACAUAGACAUAGUGUAGAGACAUGCAUACAGAAAUGUAUAUAUACACAUGUAUGUGUAUAUGACAUAAAGGAAUCUAAGGUGUAUUCUAGUUUAUGAUUUAUGUUGUUUAAGUUAUUUCUUUGGUAAAUUUAAGGUUAAUUAAGUUGUUUAAAGGUACUUAAUAAUUAGUUACAAAUAAUAAUUAUUACAACUUUGUAUUGUAGAUGUUGUUUAUUACACUUAGCUUUAAAAGUCCAAUACUAGAAAAAACAAGUCUUCUUCAUGACCCAACAAAAAAAAAAAAAAAUCAGCAGGACACUUCAAAGUGGUGUCUCCGGCUGUAUUGUGUCAUGUCUACGUGUUUGGAAUUGGCAACACUGCCCAUACCUGAAAAAUCGUGUCCAAGUAAUGAAGCUUUACUGUAUCAUAUAAGGAGGCUGCUAUGAUCCAUUGUGAUAGGGCGGUCGCUGGUGUAGUGGUAAGAUUGCUCCAUUAUGACCAGGGU